rnacentral:rRNA from 2 species
UACGUAGGGUGCAAGCGUUGUCCGGAAUUAUUGGGCGUAAAGAGCUCGUAGGCGGUCUGUCGCGUCUGCUGUGAAAACCUAGGGCUUAACUCUGGGCGUGCAGUGGGUACGGGCAGGCUAGAGUGCAGUAGGGGAGACUGGAAUUCCUGGUGUAGCGGUGAAAUGCGCAGAUAUCAGGAGGAACACCGGUGGCGAAGGCGGGUCUCUGGGCUGUAACUGACGCUGAGGAGCGAAAGCAUGGGGAGCGAACAGG